AUACGUAGGGGGCGAGCGUUGUCCGGAAUGACUGGGCGUAAAGGGUACGUAGGCGGCUAGGUAAGUCAGAUGUGAAAGGCAUGGGCUCAACCCAUGUUAGCAUAUGAAACUGCUUAGCUUGAGUUAAGGAGAGGAAAGUGGAAUUCCUGGUGUAGCGGUGAAAUGCGUAGAUAUCAGGAGGAAUACCAGUGGCGAAGGCGACUUUCUGGACUUAAACUGACGCUGAGGUACGAAAGCGUGGGGAGCAAACAGGAUUAGAUACCCUGGUAGUCCACGCCGUAAACGAUGAGUGCUAGGUGUCGGGGGUCAAACCUCGGUGCCGGAGUUAACACAUUAAGCACUCCGCCUGGGGAGUACGUUCGCAAGAAUGAA
rnacentral:rRNA from 1 species